UUUUUAUUGCGGGGGGACGCUUUGGCGUUGAGAAGGUAAAACCUGACCCUUUGAACCUGAUGGUUAAGACCAAGCGUAGGAAGUAAAUUUAAAAAUUAA
rnacentral:ncRNA from 1 species